UGGCUUGCAGAGCUCGGCGCUUCG
rnacentral:piRNA from 1 species